AAUCACUGGAUUGUCUGGUCCAGAUUCGAUUAUUUACAGACCGCCGUCAUAUAGCUGGAAUAUUGCUGAGUGCGGCGUUAAACAACAACCAACCAACCAACUACUUCAAUUUGUCAUUUGUAGCAGAUGUUUCAAUAGAUUCAUACAUAUUCACAUUGUCUUAAAUUUGACUUGAUUGCAUAAAUCGAUCGUGCACGGACUUUUGAUUAGAUAUUGAUUCAGAAAUCGUUUGAUGAAGCUGCAAGGUGUUGUCAUGUGAUGAAUAUAAAGCAUCUCGUGUCACGCAUCUUUACUCAACUCCGUCUUCUUCUCAGUCAGUACCUGACUGCCUGUUAGUUCUUGUGUCCUGGGGCGGUCGGGUAGCCUGGUGGUUAAAGCGUUCGCUCGUCACGCCGAAGACCCGGGUUUGGUUCCCAACAUGGGUACAAUGUGUGAAGCCAAUUUCUGGUGUCACCUGCCGUGAUAUUGCUUGAAUAUUGCUAAAAGCGCGUAAAACCAUACUAACUCACUCUUGUGUCCAAUAGAUGUGUAACCGUUCGAGUAAUCUACAGUAGGAAUGUGAUCUGAACAGAAAAAUACACGGUUCUUUACAACUAUUAAGAUUUUGAAACAAAAUAUUGUUUUAUUGUUUAUUCAGUUUGCCGUGUUCUUAUUUUAAACUCUUUUUACAGAAUCACAUCUAUCAAAUCUCCUUUCUUUGACGAUUGAUUUGAUGGCGGUAUGCAAUUAGGCUGAAAAAGGCUUUUCUACACUUAACAUACCCGAUGUCAUCAAUGUCAUGAAUGCGUUCUUGAAAGUAUGUUAAAUGUUUACAGAUUGUAUGUAUGAUGUAUAUACAAAUGCCCUAAGAAAUACACAUGGAGCCUGACGUUUUUAAUACAUAUUGUUAUUUUUUAUACUGGAAAGGGUCAUUUUGAUAUUGUAACUCCAUUGCUUAGAUCCAUUGUUUACUUUAAUUUAUUGUUGACCUCAGUUGUUUACUCCAUUGUUUAUCCCAUUGCCUACUUCACUUGUUUACCUACAUUGUUUACCUCCACGGUUUACCCCCAAUAUCUACCAACAGACAAAAUGGCCAGCCUUCGUGUCUGUCUGUGUGUCGGCAUAUUGGUGUCUAUGUUCAUGCUUGCCAGAGCUGAAAAGUUUCAAAAAGCAGCUGAAAAGGGAGAGCAUUUUGAGAAUCAGAGGCUCAAGCGUGAGGCCACAAUGGAAGAUCGGCUGAGGUUGCUGAAACAAAGGCGUGACGGAGGGCAGAUCUCAGAUGAAGACUAC